UUUAGUUUCUAAUAGGAAACCAAGACAACAAGAAAAAUUAGAUGGAUGAUUUAUUGGAUUACUUCUUUUGUUCUGUUUAGUUUUCAGGGAUUGUUUUCUCUGAGCAAUUGUUCUUUAAAAACUGGAUAAUAGACAUCUUUUAAAAAAAAUAAGAUAAUUUUUAUCUUGCAAUAGGAUAUUCUAAAA
rnacentral:misc_RNA from 1 species